GACGAACGCUGGCGGCGCGCCUAACACAUGCAAGUCGAACGAGCGAGAGAGAGCUUGCUUUCUCGAGCGAGUGGCGAACGGGUGAGUAACGCGUGAGGAACCUGCCUCAAAGAGGGGGACAACAUUUGGAAACGACUGCUAAUACCGCAUAAGCCCACGACCCGGCAUCGGGUGGAGGGAAAAGGAGCAAUCCGCUUUGAGAUGGCCUCGCGUCCGAUUAGCUAGUUGGUGAGGUAACGGCCCACCAAGGCGACGAUCGGUAGCCGGACUGAGAGGUUGAACGGCCACAUUGGGACUGAGACACGGCCCAGACUCCUACGGGAGGCAGGAGUGGGGAAUAUUGCACAAGGGGGGAAACCCUGAUGAAGCGACGCCGCGUGGAGGAAGAAGGUCUUCGGAUUGUAAACUCCUGUUGUUGAGGAAGAUAAUGACGGUACUCAACAAGGAAGUGACGGCUAACUACGUG
rnacentral:rRNA from 1 species